GUGGUGCAUCAGCAAAACUUUACUGCAACUCUUCCAAAACAGAUCUAUUGGUUUGGUCUUGGUGGAAUCUGUAGUACCCUUGUGAACACUCCUCCUAAAGCUUUACUGUUCUUCAGUGGUCACAUCCUGAACCCCUUCCAGAGGGAUGUACCUAUGCAAUGUACCAAACUACCAGCAGAUGAAAAGUGAAGAGCUGUAUGUACUGAACUUGGUUCCCUUUGAUGUGUCACACUGAAAAUGCACAGAGAGUAGACUUCAAAGUUGCCCUUUCAGCAGACUCCCCCUUUAAUAUAACAAAUUUGAAUCAACAAGAAGCAGCAAAUUUCAGGCACAUAGAAACCAAUGCUGCCACUCUGCCAGAAUGGGUUACAGGUGCCAACAGUGGGG